rnacentral:rRNA from 1 species
AUGCACCAACCCAAUGUUAUCUUUCUCUCUGAGACAAGGAAAAAUAAAGAUUAUGUUGAGCGUUUGCGUUAUCGAUUGGGUAUGAGUAAUGUUUUUACCUAUUCUUCUCCAGGGAAAGGUGGUGGUCUUGCGGUGUUCUGGGAUGAUUCUUAUACUAUACAGCUGAACAAAUAUGGGGAGCAUUUCAUUGAUAUGUUUAUAUGUACUGCUAAUGGAGCAAAGUGGAGAAGCACCUUUAUCUAUGGAGAGCCUAAGGCUAGUCAAAGGUACGUCAUGUGGGAACUUUUGCGGAGAAUUAAGCCUAUGGGUUCUGGUCCUUGGUUCAUGGUUGGAGAUUUCAAUGAAGCGAUGUGGCAAAAUGAGCAUUUUUCUUGGAAUAAAAGGUCCAAUUCUUUGAUGGCUGAUUUUAGGAGUGUGCUCUCUGAUUGUAAUCUUUUUGACUUGGGGUUUCAUGGUACGCCGUGGACUUAUGACAACAAGCAACAGGGUUCCAAAAAUGUUAGAGUAAGAUUGGACAGAGCUGUUGCGUGUCCUCAAUGGUCGGCACUAUUUCCGGAGUGCAGGGUGUCUCAUAUUAUUAGCUCAAGAUCUGACCAUUGCCCUCUGCUCAUUCAACUG